ensembl:misc_RNA 7SK 7SK RNA
GGAUGUAAGGUGAUCUGGCUGAGACAUCUGUCACCUCACUGAUCUCCAGAAUUUAUCAAGCUGAUCUGUCUGGUUAGGCAGGUAUCCCCUUCCUACCUUACUGCUCCAUGUGGGUCCCACCUGUAGCUCCCCACUCAGUCAAAGAGGACAACCACUCCUGAUGGAGAAAGACCACUUCCCUGGUCAAGGGUAUAGGAGUAGCUGUGCUCCUCUGCUAGAACCUCCAAAGAAGCUCUCAAUUAAACCUUCUCAAGUUGUUUCAUGGAUAUUUUGACUGCCUGGAGAUGAUAUGCAUUGUCUCAGAAAAAGAACUCUGAAUUAAUAGGAGCAAUGUGUUGAAUGCUUUUUAAU